GGGAACGUACCUCUUGGUUCGGAACAACACAGGGAAACUUGUGCUAAUACCGGAUAAGCCCUUACGGGGAAAGAUUUAUCGCCGAGAGAUCGGCCCGCGUCUGAUUAGCUAGUUGGUGAGGUAAUGGCUCACCAAGGCGACGAUCAGUAGCUGGUCUGAGAGGAUGAUCAGCCACAUUGGGACUGAGACACGGCCCAAACUCCUACGGGAGGCAGCAGUGGGGAAUAUUGGACAAUGGGGGCAACCCUGAUCCAGCCAUGCCGCGUGAGUGAUGAAGGCCCUAGGGUUGUAAAGCUCUUUUGUGCGGGAAGACAAUGACGGUACCGCAAGAAUAAGCCCCGGCUAACUUCGUGCCAGCAGCCGCGGUAAUACGAAGGGGGCUAGCGUUGCUCGGAAUCACUGGGCGUAAAGGGUGCGUAGGCGGGUCUUUAAGUCAGGGGUGAAAUCCUGGAGCUCAACUCCAGAACUGCCUUUGAUACUGAAGAUCUUGAGUAUGGGAGAGGUGAGUGGAACUGCGAGU
rnacentral:rRNA from 1 species